rnacentral:rRNA from 1 species
GAACCGGAUUAGAUACCCGGGUAGUCCACGCCGUAAACGAUGGAUACUAGCUGUUGGAGGUAUCGACCCCUUCAGUAGCGAAGCUAACGCGUUAAGUAUCCCGCCUGUGGAGUACGGCCGCAAGGCUAAAACAUAAAGGAAUUGACGGGGACCCGCACAAGCGGUGGAUUAUGUUCUUUAAUUCGAUGAUAACCGAAGAACCUUACCAGGGCUUGACAUCCAGGGAAGGUCUGCGAAAGUAGACUGUGCCUUUUGGAACCCUGUGACAGGUGAUGCAUGGCCGUCGUCAGCUCGUGUCGUGAGAUGUUAGGUUAAGUCCUUCAACGAGCGCAACCCUUGUGAAUAGUUGUAUUUUUCUAUUCAGACUGCCCCGGUAACGGGGAGGAAGGAGGGGAUGAUGUCAGGUCAGUAUUUCCCUUACGUCCUGGGCUAGAAACGUAAUACAAUGGCUAGUACAAUGCGCAGCGAAGCCGCGAGGUGAAGCAAAUCGCAUCAAAGCUAGUCCCAGUUCGGAUUGUAGGCUGAAACUCGCCUGCAUGAAGUCGGAAUCGCUAGUAAUCGCAGAUCAGCAUGCUGCGGUGAAUACGUUCCCGGGUCUUGUACACACCGCCCGUCAAACCAUGAAAGUCACUAACACCCGAAGUCCGAUUCGUCGGCCUAAGGUGGGAGGGAUGAUUGGGGUUAAGUCGUAACAAGGUAUCCGUACCGGAAGGUGCGGAUG